rnacentral:rRNA from 1 species
UACGUAGGGUGCAAGCGUUGUCCGGAAUUAUUGGGCGUAAAGAGCUUGUAGGCGGUUUGUCGCGUCUGCUGUGAAAACUCGGGGCUUAACCCCGGGCCUGCAGUGGGUACGGGCAGACUAGAGUGCGGUAGGGGAGACUGGAAUUCCUGGUGUAGCGGUGAAAUGCGCAGAUAUCAGGAGGAACACCGGUGGCGAAGGCGGGUCUCUGGGCCGUAACUGACGCUGAGGAGCGAAAGCAUGGGGAGCGAACAGG